GAAUAUUGGACAAUGGGCGCAAGCCUGAUCCAGCAAUGCCGCGUGGGUGAAGAAGGCCUUCGGGUUGUAAAGCCCUUUUGUACGGGAAGAAAUCUUGUCGGUUAAUACCCGGCAGGGACGACGGUACCGUAAGAAUAAGCACCGGCUAACUUCGUGCCAGCAGCCGCGGUAAUACGAAGGGUGCAAGCGUUAAUCGGAAUUACUGGGCGUAAAGCGUGCGUAGGCGGUUCGUUAAGUCUGUCGUGAAAGCCCUGGGCUCAACCUGGGAAUGGCGAUGGAUACUGGCGAGCUAGAGUGCGGUAGAGGAUGGCGGAAUUCCCGGUGUAGCGGUGAAAUGCGUAGAGAUCGGGAGGAACAUCCGUGGCGAAGGCGGCCAUCUGGACCAGCACUGACGCUCAGGCACGAAAGCGUGGGGAGCAAAC
rnacentral:rRNA from 1 species